UACGUAGGGUGCAAGCGUUAAUCGGAAUUACUGGGCGUAAAGCGUGCGCAGGCGGCUUUGCAAGACAGAUGUGAAAUCCCCGGGCUCAACCUGGGAAUUGCGAUGGAGACUGCAAGGCUAGAAUCUGGCAGAGGGGGGUAGAAUUCCGCGUGUAGCAGUGAAAUGCGUAGAGAUGUGGAGGAACACCGAUGGCGAAGGCAGCCCCC
rnacentral:rRNA from 1 species